rnacentral:rRNA from 1 species
GUGGGGAAUAUUGGACAAUGGGGGGAACCCUGAUCCAGCCAUGCCGCGUGUGUGAAGAAGGCCUUUUGGUUGUAAAGCACUUUAAGCGAGGAGGAGGCUACUCUAGUUAAUACCUAGGGAUAGUGGACGUUACUCGCAGAAUAAGCACCGGCUAACUCUGUGCCAGCAGCCGCGGUAAUACAGAGGGUGCAAGCGUUAAUCGGAUUUACUGGGCGUAAAGCGCGCGUAGGUGGCCAAUUAAGUCAAAUGUGAAAUCCCCGAGCUUAACUUGGGAAUUGCAUUCGAUACUGGUUGGCUAGAGUAUGGGAGAGGAUGGUAGAAUUCCAGGUGUAGCGGUGAAAUGCGUAGAGAUCUGGAGGAAUACCGAUGGCGAAGGCAGCCAUCUGGCCUAAUACUGACACUGAGGUGCGAAAGCAUGGGGAGCAAACAGGAUUAGAAACCCGAGUAGUCC